rnacentral:rRNA from 1 species
AGUGAACGCUGGCGGUAGGCCUAACACAUGCAAGUCGAACGGCAGCACAGUAAGAGCUUGCUCUUACGGGUGGCGAGUGGCGGACGGGUGAGGAAUACAUCGGAAUCUACUUUUUCGUGGGGGAUAACGUAGGGAAACUUACGCUAAUACCGCAUACGACCUACGGGUGAAAGCAGGGGAUCUUCGGACCUUGCGCGAUUGAAUGAGCCGAUGUCGGAUUAGCUAGUUGGCGGGGUAAAGGCCCACCAAGGCGACGAUCCGUAGCUGGUCUGAAAGGAUGAUCAGCCACACUGGAACUGAGACACGGUCCAGACUCCUACGGGAGGCAGCAGUGGGGAAUAUUGGACAAUGGGCGCAAGCCUGAUCCAGCCAUACCGCGUGGGUGAAGAAGGCCUUCGGGUUGUAAAGCCCUUUUGUUGGGAAAGAAAAGCAGCAGGUUAAUACCCCGCUGUUCUGACGGUACCCAAAGAAUAAGCACCGUCUAACUUCGUG